UGUGAGCUCCAAAGAGGCAAAGAAUGUGGCUUUGCAGUCUGUGAAUGCAUGUUCCCAGAUCAACAGGCAGCUUUUCAAAGUCAUUAGCACCUCGAGCCAGCCAGCCACAAUCCACCGGGGACAACAGGGUUUUUACACAUACAUGCGGAACAGUUAUUUCCUACAGCUAAUUACUCUAGAGAUUGGCAUCUCAUCCACAAUCUGCCAGGUUGGCCACGAAUUAACAUCUCAAUCCAAAUCACCCAGCUCCGGCAGGAUUUAUUCCUCAUGUUAUCUGUGUACAAUAAGGCUUCAGUCAGGUUCUGCUUAGGAUUGAAAGCAGCAGGGUGCCUUUGAGAGUUAUGGGGCAGGAGACCAGGGGAACAAAUUUUCCAUUUGUUCAACACAAAUAAAAAGCUAAGAACCAAUAGAGUGGCAUACAGAUGGUAUUCCUUGAUUUUUGAAAUCUCAGAACUUUUUUCCUCACCAAGCAAGAGUCUCAGGCUCCCUAGAAAAGGAGAUGCUUGCCAGUGUUCUAGUGAUCACACACCAGGUAAGUCUUCAGAGCCUAGGGCUUCCUUUGGAUUAGUUGUGCCAAGUGGAUUAGCCUGAUAAUUACAUCUCUAUUUUCCUUGACCGCUCUAGACCAGCAGUUCUCUAGCUAUGGGUCAUGACCAUAAGAUAACAUAUUUCCAAUGGUCUUAGGAACCCCCAACCAUGCAUUUAUUUUUGCUGCUACUUCAUAGCUGUAAUAUUGCUACAGAGCUGUGUCUCGUGGUCAUGACCCACAAGUUGAAAACCACUGUUCUCUCUCUCUCUCUCUCUCUCUCUGGGCAGACCUCAUUCUUGCCCCCCCUUCUCCUGAUAUUUCCCAUUUUUUAUUUCUUUUCCCCAGUACUUAUCGGGAACCCUCAAAGUCAUGUUCAGGUCACUGGGUAAUUUAAGUUGGUUAGAUUUUACUUUCCCUUUUGGUAACGAUCUAUUCAUUAGAUUUUGCUUGCUUUCUGCCCUUCCUUUGAGUUAUUUGCUUAUCAAGCUUGUAUACUCUGGGCUGCUAUAUAAGAAAUAGGUCCCAGGAUGUGACUUGGGUAAUCUUCAUUAUUUUUAAAACAUUACUAUGCAAGAGCCAUUAAGUGGAUGUGGAAGAUUAAAAUUUGCCUGGAAGAUUUCCCUAGACUUUGGGGAGUUCACAUUUUUUGUUUGUUUGUUUGUUUGUUUUUUGAUUUUUCGAGACAGGGUUUCUCUGUAUAGCCCUGGAAGGAGGUAAAAUAUAGGUUGAAAUAACCAAAAAGUUGUCUGUGGUAAGUCACGCUAAAGUGAUCCACACAAAAUCCAACCAUACUGCAGGAGGAAGAGAUUGUUUUUAACAGGCAGAGUAGUGAAGUGUGAACAAAUUCAAGAGGUUCUUCUUCGAACUGGGCCCUUUAUAAUCCAAGUACAUUGUAUGAAAUUCUCAACAAAUAAAUAAAACAUAAAUACAUAAAU
rnacentral:lncRNA from 1 species